rnacentral:rRNA from 1 species
AGCAUAUGCGGAGGCCUACCAUGCAAGUUCGAGCGGAAACGAUCCUAGCUUGCUAGGAGGCGUCGAGCGGCGGACGGGUGAGUAAUGCAUAGGAAUCUGCCCGGUAGUGGGGGAUAACCUGAGGAAACUCAGGCUAAUACCGCAUACGUCCUACGGGAGAAAGCAGGGGCUCUUCGGACCUUGCGCUAUCGGAUGAGCUUAUGUCGGAUUAGCUGGUUGGUGAGGUAACGGCUCACCAAGGCGACGAUCCGUAGCUGGUCUGAGAGGAUGAUCAGCCACAUCGGGACUGAGACACGGCCCGAACUCCUACGGGAGGCAGCAGUGGGGAAUAUUGGACAAUGGGGGCAACCCUGAUCCAGCCAUGCCGCGUGUGUGAAGAAGGCCCUCGGGUUGUAAAGCACUUUCAGUGAGGAAGAAGGCUUGUCGGUUAAUACCCGGCAAGAAAGACAUCACUCACAGAAGAAGCACCGGCUAACUCCGUGCCAGCAGCCGCGGUAAUACGGAGGGUGCGAGCGUUAAUCGGAAUUACUGGGCGUAAAGCGUGCGUAGGCGGCUUGAUAAGCCGGUUGUGAAAGCCCCGGGCUCAACCUGGGAACGGCAUCCGGAACUGUCAGGCUAGAGUGCAGGAGAGGAAGGUAGAAUUCCCGGUGUAGCGGUGAAAUGCGUAGAGAUCGGGAGGAAUACCAGUGGCGAAAGGCGGCCUUCUGGACUGACACUGACGCUGAGGUACGAAAGCGUGGGUAGCAAACAGGAUUAGAUACCCUGGUAGUCCACGCCGUAAACGAUGUCGACUAGCCGUUGGGGUCCUCGAGACCUUUGUGGCGCAGUUAACGCACUAAGUCGACCGCCUGGGGAGUACGGCCGCAAGGUUAAAACUCAAAUGAAUUGACGGGGGCCCGCACAAGCGGUGGAGCAUGUGGUUUAAUUCGAUGCAACGCGAAGAACCUUACCUACCCUUGACAUCGUGCGAACUUGGUAGAGAUACCUUGGUGCCUUCGGGAACGCACAGACAGGUGCUGCAUGGCUGUCGUCAGCUCGUGUUGUGAAAUGUUGGGUUAAGUCCCGUAACGAGCGCAACCCUUGUCCCUAUUUGCCAGCGAUUCGGUCGGGAACUCUAGGGAGACUGCCGGUGACAAACCGGAGGAAGGUGGGGACGACGUCAAGUCAUCAUGGCCCUUACGGGUAGGGCUACACACGUGCUACAAUGGCCGGUACAAUGGGUUGCAAAGCGGCGACGUGGAGCUAAUCCCAUAAAGCCGGUCUCAGUCCGGAUCGGAGUCUGCAACUCGACUCCGUGAAGUCGGAAUCGCUAGUAAUCGUGCAUCAGAAUGGCACGGUGAAUACGUUCCCGGGCCUUGUACACACCGCCCGUCACACCAUGGGAGUGGACUGCACCAGAAAGUGGUUAGCCUAACUCGGAGGGGCGUCACCCCCGCGGGUGUGAUAU